rnacentral:rRNA from 1 species
GGGGAAUCUUCCGCAAUGGACGAAAGUCUGACGGAGCAACGCCGCGUGAGUGAUGACGGCCUUCGGGUUGUAAAGCUCUGUUAAUCGGGACGAAUGGUUCUUGUGCGAAUAGUGCGAGGAUUUGACGGUACCGGAAUAGAAAGCCACGGCUAACUACGUGCCAGCAGCCGCGGUAAUACGUAGGUGGCAAGCGUUGUCCGGAAUUAUUGGGCGUAAAGCGCGCGCAGGCGGAUUAGUUAGUCUGUCUUAAAAGUUCGGGGCUUAACCCCGUGAUGGGAUGGAAACUGCUGAUCUAGAGUAUCGGAGAGGAAAGUGGAAUUCCUAGUGUAGCGGUGAAAUGCGUAGAUAUUAGGAAGAACACCAGUGGCGAAGGCGACUUUCUGGACGAAAACUGACGCUGAGGCGCGAAAGCCAGGGGAGCGAACGGGAUUAGAUACCCCGGUAGUCCUGGCCGUAAACGAUGGGUACUAGGUGUAGGAGGUAUCGACCCCUUCUGUGCCGGAGUUAACGCAAUAAGUACCCCGCCUGGGGAGUACGACCGCAAGGUUG